AUGAAUUUAAAAAUUCGAAGCACACUAAACAACAAAUUGGAUGAAAGAGCAACUAUCCAAGUCAACAUUUCAUCAGAACGGACAUCAAUAAAAGCUAAUUCCCGACGUUUGACGGCACACCCCUACAGGUGGCUUGGUAGAGUUGCAGACCUGAACGGCAGCUACAAGACAUCUGCUGCCUGGGGAAACUUGCAAUGUGGCAAAGUGGUGUUUGUAGCUCCCUAUGGAAAGGUGCCAGCUGCCCAGGCCUUCGCUUCUGCAGAUGAGCGGAGAGUCUUGUGGGGGCUUCAGUUGAAGCUGCGCGUCGUCCCAUCCUCCUCUAUAUCAAAGUGAGGACGUGCUGAGUCCUCUGAUGCAAAAUUCCAGAUUUCUCUGGGUCUUCCAGUAGCAGCUGUGAUCAAUUGUGCUGACAACACAGGAGCCAAAAACCUGUAUAUCAUCUCCGUGAAAGGGGAUCAAAGGACUGCUGCUGGUGUGGGUGACAUGGUGAUGGUCACAGUCAAGAAAGGCAAACCAGAGCUCAGAAAAAAGGUACAUACAGCAGUGGUCAUUUGACAAUGAAAGUCAUAUCAUAGAAAAGAUGGCAUGUUUCUUUAUUUCGAAGAUAAUACAGGGGUCAUAGUGAGCAAUAAAAGCGAGAUGAAAGGUUCUGCGAUAACAGGACCAGUAGCAAAGGAGUGUGUAGACUUGUGGCCCCGGAUUGCAUCCAAUGCUGGCAGCAUUGCAUGAUUCUCCAGUAUAUUUGUAAAAAAUAAAAAAAAAAACUUUAAACCCAUUAAAAA